rnacentral:rRNA from 1 species
AUCUAGCCAUGGGCAGGUUGAAGGUUGGGUAACACUAACUGGAGGACCGAACCGACUAAUGUUGAAAAAUUAGCGGAUGACUUGUGGCUGGGGGUGAAAGGCCAAUCAAACCGGGAGAUAGCUGGUUCUCCCCGAAAGCUAUUUAGGUAGCGCCUCGUGAAUUCAUCUCCGGGGGUAGAGCACUGUUUCGGCAAGGGGGUCAUCCCGACUUACCAACCCGAUGCAAACUGCGAAUACCGGAGAAUGUUAUCACGGGAGACACACGGCGGGUGCUAACGUCCGUCGUGAAGAGGGAAACAACCCAGACCGCCAGCUAAGGUCCCAAAGUCAUGGUUAAGUGGGAAACGAUGUGGGAAGGCCCAGACAGCCAGGAUGUUGGCUUAGAAGCAGCCAUCAUUUAAAGAAAGCGUAAUAGCUCACUGGUCGAGUCGGCCUGCGCGGAAGAUGUAACGGGGCUAAACCAUGCACCGAAGCUGCGGCAGCGACGCUUAUGCGUUGUUGGGUAGGGGAGCGUUCUGUAAGCCUGUGAAGGUGUGCUGUGAGGCAUGCUGGAGGUAUCAGAAGUGCGAAUGCUGACAUAAGUAACGAUAAAGCGGGUGAAAAGCCCGCUCGCCGGAAGACCAAGGGUUCCUGUCCAACGUUAAUCGGGGCAGGGUGAGUCGACCCCUAAGGCGAGGCCGAAAGGCGUAGUCGAUGGGAAACAGGUUAAUAUUCCUGUACUUGGUGUUACUGCGAAGGGGGGACGGAGAAGGCUAUGUUGGCCGGGCGACGGUUGUCCCGGUUUAAGCGUGUAGGCUGGUUUUCCAGGCAAAUCCGGAAAAUCAAGGCUGAGGCGUGAUGACGAGGCACUACGGUGCUGAAGCAACAAAUGCCCUGCUUCCAGGAAAAGCCUCUAAGCAUCAGGUAACAUCAAAUCGUACCCCAAACCGACACAGGUGGUCAGGUAGAGAAUACCAAGGCGCUUGAGAGAACUCGGGUGAAGGAACUAGGCAAAAUGGUGCCGUAACUUCGGGAGAAGGCACGCUGAUAUGUAGGUGAAGUCCCUUGCGGAUGGAGCUGAAAUCAGUCGAAGAUACCAGCUGGCUGCAACUGUUUAUUAAAAACACAGCACUGUGCAAACACGAAAGUGGACGUAUACGGUGUGACGCCUGCCCGGUGCCGGAAGGUUAAUUGAU